AUUGAACGCUGGCGGCAGGCCUAACACAUGCAAGUCGAACGAGUGGCGGACGGGUGAGUAAUGUCUGGGAAACUGCCCGAUGGAGGGGGAUAACUACUGGAAACGGUAGCUAAUACCGCAUACCAUCGGAUGUGCCCAGAUGGGAUUAGCUAGUAGGUGGGGUAACGGCUCACCUAGGCGACGAUCCCUAGCUGGUCUGAGAGGAUGACCAGCCCCACGGGAACGGAGACAGGGUCAAGAAUCCUACGGGAGGCGGCAGGGGGGAAGAGUGAACAAUGGGCGCAAGCCUGAUGCAGCCAUGCCGGGUGUAUGAAGAAGGCCUGCGGUUUGUAAAGUACUUUCAGCGGGGGGGCGUUACUCGCAGAAGAAGCCCCGUCUAACUCCGUGCCAGCAGCCGCGGUAAUUU
rnacentral:rRNA from 1 species